GCAGCCUUACCGGGGGAUCACU
rnacentral:rRNA from 1 species